GUUAAUCGAAGGUGAUAACCAUCUUUCGGCGCCGCACUGUACUAAACUAACUAAAGUGGGGGAUAGUGAGGGGAUAAAUUUCCUUAAGGAACUCGGCAAAAUCCCAAUGGCCCACCAGGGCAUAUAUUGGAACACGGGCCUCGACUGUUUACCAAAAACAUAGCCCUCGGCCAAUAUGAAAAUAGAAGUAUGGAGGGUGAGGCCUGCCCAAUGGUUGUAUCUAAAAGCGGUUGAUAAAAGUCGACCGCGUAAGGACAAUUGAAUGGCCGCGGUAACACUGACCGUGAUAAUGUAGCGUAAUCAAUAGCCAAUUAAUUGUUGGCCAGUAUGAAUGGCGCCACGAAGGCCCCACUGUCUUAAGGAAAUUCCCAGUGAAAUUGAAUUCGUAGUGAAGAUGCUACGUCCAAUUUGUUAGACGAAAAGACCCCGUUGAGCUUUACUGGGGCACUUACACGGCCCCGGCCUUCAAGACUGGGUUGAUAAGCCAAGGCUUACCAUACCUAGGGACCGGCCGAAUUUAAAUGGGCGGCUUAGACUAUGUGGCAGCCCCCCCCGUCGGGGCAGAUGAAACCCCACUCCCCCAUGUCAAAGGGGCUAACCCCCCCCCUUGGGGGGGACAGUGUAAGUAGGACAGUUUGGUUGGGGCGACCGCCUUUUAGAGAGUAACGAAGGUGCGCUUAAGGUGCGUAAUUAAUGACUGAAGCCUGACUGCGAGGGGGACACCCCGAGCAGACACCCCCAAGCCCGCCCUCGCCUUCGUACCAACGGAGGGAGGGCGGCGGUGGGGUGGGCCAUAGUGACCCGUUAAUUUAGAGUGGAAUAGUUAACGAUCAACGAAUAAAAGUUACCACGGGGAUAACAGCGUAAUAUCGUUAGAGAGUUCACAUCGACGACGAUGUUUGC
rnacentral:rRNA from 1 species